rnacentral:misc_RNA from 1 species
GGAGGUACAUAGCUACUUCAUCUCCUUUUAUUUCAUAUUUUCUUUCAUGUGAAAUGUUGUGCAUUUGUGUGUGUAUAAUUUUCAUGCUAACAUUUGCAAAUUAGCAUACUACUUCUGCCAUGGCUUGUGUGAGCAUGUUCUUAACCCUGCACUUACUAUCAGGCUUUGAAAAUCCAAGUUUUUCUUUCCUAAUUUGGAUGUUUAUGCACCAUGGCUUGCAUAUGUGGGUCAUAUGAGUGGAUCACAUUUGCAUAAUAAAGUCAUUUUUGUGAGUGAUUGUGUACGUAGAGCUGUAGAUUGAGUGUAAAAAAUACACUCCUAUUCAUUGUAUAUUUGGACGCAUUGCAAGGCUAAAAUUUUCUAUAGUUUCAUAUGUUCUCCUUUUGCUUUUCUGUUAUUAUUUGAUGAAGAAGAGAAUUAAAUAUAUAACAUGAACUAAAUGGAUAAUGGGAGACAGCCUUUCAAUCCUUCAUUAAAAGAAGUAAAAGACUUCCAUAAUAAUGCAUUAUGCAUGAUACAAACAGUUUGCUACUUUGGUUUCAGUGAUUAAAAGAGGGUUUGCUUCUAAAUAUCUCUAAGUAAUUACUAAAAUAAUAUAAAUUAUAUAAUUGCAUUAGCUAUUUAGCUUUCAAUUAAGAAAAAUUGUUUAUACUAUUUUCAUUGUAGAAGAGGUUUAAAUGAGUGAAGCUAAAACAAUUUUCGUAUGUUUCCUUUUAUUUGAAAGGUAUUAAUUUAAAUUGUAAUAUUUUAUCCUAGAGGAGUUCCAAGCAACCUUUCACUGCAUUACUUUUUUUUUUUUAAAUUG